UACAGAGGGUGCGAGCGUUAGUCGGAAUUACUGGGCGUAAAGCGUGCGUAGACGGUUAUUUAAGUCGGAUGUGAAAGCCCCGGGCUCAACCUGGGAAUUGCAUUCGAGACUGAAUAGCUAGGGUGCGGUAGAGGGAAGCGGAAUUCCUGGUGUAGCGGUGAAAUGCGCAGAUAUCAGGAGGAACACCGAUGGCGAAGGCAGCUCGCUGGGACGGUACUGACGCUGAGGCGCGAAAGCGUGGGGAGCAAACAGG
rnacentral:rRNA from 1 species